AUACCGAGCUAUCAAUGGAGCUGCAGGUAUGCUAAAGGGGCCAUGCCCCCUACAAUGAAAAGAUCCAUUUACAAGCUACUUAAAUUUUUCUUAAAAUUAAUAAAUGUGCACAUUAGGCAAAAAGAACUAUAAUGAGUCCUUGAUCGACCCUCCGCCACUAACAAGACCAUGUGAAUUGAUUUCCAACACAGAUACUCCCAGGAAUAAUGUGGGAGGAGGAAAGGCCAUCUUGACAUGAUUAUCGUCGUUUCAUAGGUACUAAAAGCAUACAUUUCAUAUAGUACAGGUUAAUUACUUGUUCAUGUAGAGGGGAGGUCGGCACCUUGUUCCACUAUUCCAGCCCCACAGUUGUACACAAGGACGUCGGCAACCAAACAUGCAACUAGCCACUGAAUUGAAUCUGGCCAUGCUGGGCGCGUGUGUGUGAUGGUUGUCUCUGCGCAUGCGUAGAGGAUCCUGAGGAAGUGACGAUAGAGCAGACAGUGGGGUGUCGCGGCAACACGCAGGCGCCAACGACCGCCAAUGUCAUUGGAGCGGAACCCCAAUCUGUGGCAGCCGAUAGAACAUCUCCUCGCUCCUCCUCCCAGGCCUGAGCAGCCCGUGGCCUGCUGCCCCCUGACACCCC
rnacentral:lncRNA from 1 species